rnacentral:lncRNA from 1 species
AGCGGCAGUGGUCUCGUAGGAAAUGGUGUUCUCGUAAGUCAGGCUGCCCCGCUCAAGCACGAGAGAGCUUUGGUUAGAGCUCAGAGCGUCAGUUCUGCUGCGAGUGCUGCCGGCAGUCGGCCCGGGUUGAGCUGUCCAUUCGUCCAGGUGCUGAAGCUGGUGGAACAUUGGGUAGGUAGGGAAAAGGCUGGCACUGCUACUUGGGUAGAAAGAAAGCAUAUCAACUGCGUUGUUCUAGUUUCUUAAAGCGUGCGAGUCUGUGGGUCAGUGUGUGUAUAUAUUUUAUUUUAAUUGUGAGGAAGCAAAACUGAAGGAGACUACUUGGAAAGCAUUGAAAAGCUGUGUGGGUAUUUAUGCUGUGAUUCUGAUGCCCUGUGUAUUGGGGUGUGUGUGUGUGUGUGUGUGUGUGUGUGUGUGUGUGCCUCCCUUGACCAUCCUUUUGAGUUUAUAACGUUCCAUUUACUAAAUCCAAGCCUAUCUGUAUAGUGUGUUUCUUGUUUUCCUUUUAAUAUUAGUUGAGAUUUAAAUAGAAGAGUGCAGAAGCAAAUGUACACUUUGCUCAUAGACUAUUGCAUUACUUUCCCUAAGGGCUUUUGUUUCUAGGAGUUCAAGCUGAAGAGAACCUGUCAGCUUUCUGAAUUUUUUUUUUGUCUAGCACCAGAGAAAAGCUCCACUUUAUACCUAUGUUAGGUAACAACAGAAAAUAGUGCUUAUUUAUUUGUUUUAUUGGUAUCUGUCCUUUUGUAAGUGGUGUACUUAAGAGUUAUCUGAAAAUAAUGUAAAACAGUCUGGUAGUUGGGCUAUAUUGGUUUUCUUUCUAGUUAUUUUAGGUUCAGACAUUAUAUAUUAAACAUCUAUUCAUAAAACCUAGAAUUCAUGUUGAUUUUUCCAUCUGUAAGUAACAUGUCAAGAAAAUGAUGAGUUGGUGUGCCCGGAGAAGUAUUAUAAUUUUUAAAAAAAUAAGAGCAAACACAACCUAAGCACCUUAAAUUGCAACCAGGUCAGUUAGAGAUGAGUUGUGGUAGUGGGAGAGAUUCUGUUAUAUAAUUACUCCUUGAUGAAGAGCUAUUUGCACUUACAUAAUUUGGGAAAUCAUAAUGUCUAUUGCCAUGUUUCCAUAUUCCCCCCCAUUCCCCUUACAUGGAUGUACUUUCAUGUAUUUGAGAGUAAAGGGGAAAGCAAAUUGAGAACUUUCUAAGGAAGCUACACCAUGUCUUGGGUAGUGACGUUGCACUUGUCCAUUUUAUUUAGUGAACAAUAAACCCCCAUUAUCAGAAUAUCCACUGCAGGAUCUUAAGACAAAGCUUUUCCAGUAAGAGCCAUAUUGAUCAUCAAAGAAUCACAGAGAUUCUCUCUCUGAAUGCCAAAA